rnacentral:lncRNA from 1 species
ACAGGAUGCAGUACCUGGUGUUGAACUAUAGGUAUCACCGUGAAAAUGCACAUACAUGCCACGUUUGGCAUUAGCAGUAGACAUCCACGGUAGGAAUGGGAGGCAUCGAGGAAGUUCGUUAUACCUAGAUUCGAGCCCGGCGCGAGCCCAUGGCGGCCCGGUCCGGCUCAGCCCAAACCCGCCAGUCAUUGCGGACGACACGAGCUGCCAAAGCGAGCUAGUUCGGCCUUCGGAUCAUUGGGCCAGGCUGGACUCAGUACAACCUGGGAGCAAACACCCCGAGAACCGCAGCAGCCCACCAAAAACAAGCCCCAAGGGAAGCCCACCAAAUCACCUCGGCCGGUCAGGCCUCACUCAAUCCAUCCAGCCCCGAGCUCCCGGGCCAGACGCCGCCGCGUACAGCCGGCCCGCCUAAGACGACGCCGCGCCGCAAUUACUGGGCCGCAUCUUCCCCGCUCGCCCGGCCCACUCCGCGACAUGACUGGGCUCCUUCCUCACACCCGCAGUCGCCGUCCCGUAGCUAGCCCGCGCCACCGGUCGAUCGCCAUGGACAAAAAAAAAAAAGGUGCUGCUGUGCGGAUCAAUGCUUGCUCUUAAUUUGGCGAUCGGUUGGCUCAGUCCUGGUGUUAUUAAAUGAAAAGAAAAAUCCUUCUAUUUUCCAGAACCUUGCGAUUCACCGACCAAAAUGUGUCAGUGCAGAGUGUUGUCUGCUUUCAUAUCAUAUUAUCGGUUU